AAAAAUAAAAAGUUGCUGAAACUGAUUAAAAAAUGUGCAAUCAGCAAAAUCCUCGUUGACCCAGAUCACAUGAUGCUUCUCAUCUCUCUAUAAAAUACCCAAGAUUGGUGAGAGUUGUCAUUCACCUUCACCAUGAAGGGAAUCGUCCUAUUUCUUGUAGUGGCCAUUGUGGGUAAGUAUGGCUUUCUUUUUACUAUGACUCCAUUGUAAAAUUUUGCAUAAUUUUAGUCAAAAUAUAUUUUAAAAUUUAAAGAAAACUCCAUCCUACUAUGUUCAUAUUGUAAUCUCUUGAAUUUCUUUCCUCAGCUGCCGAGAAAUUCCCAGCCCGGAACCAGAAAUCCCAGACAAAAACCCAGAAUGCUGAAACGGGAACCGAGAAUGUUGACAUCAAACCAGAAUUUCCUGCCGGACAAAUAUUGAUAUACAAUUACACCACCGUGCUUCAAACUGGAGUUCAAAACAAAGAUUAUGGAAAGAGUCUUCUAAGGAUGGAAACUGAUGCAAUAAUCACAACAAGUCAAACAGAGCAUGUGCUUCAAGUAAGUUUUCUCCCUAAGGAUAAAAUUCCUUUCAGUAAUUCUCAAGCCCAUUCAAUUGAUGGGAAACUAUACUGUACAAUCAUUCAAGAAAUAGUCACAUAUAUGGACCACAGAUUGAUGGUGGGGGGGACCCUUUCUGUACAAUAGGCCAAGGGAAAAAUGAUCAUUUUAAGCUUCAAUACUUUAUUUGCCUGCAGUUAAAAAAAGUUAAGCAAUCCUAAACUAUUCAUUCAUAAGUGCAUUAUACUCCUGACAAGAACAAC
rnacentral:lncRNA from 1 species